rnacentral:misc_RNA from 1 species
CAACCCUCAAGCAUUGCUUGGCAUUGGAUGCUACCUCUUGGGUACGUCUCAAAAAUAUUAGCAGUGGCAUUCAGCUUCUAGUGUAGUAAUUUUCUCGCUUAGGAGUCAUGAGUGUCUAACAGCUAGAACCCUCUAAUUUUAUCACAA